CCCCGCCGCCGAGGCGAAUUGCGGGCGGCCACGGUUGUGAGGAAACGGCGGCAGCGGGUCGGGGGGUGGGGCGGAAACCAUAAUGACGAAGAGGUUAUAGGAGAAGAAGGAUGCCGAAGAGGCGGCGGCGGCAGCGCAUCCCUACUACGGCCUACGGGUGUACGUUCGAAGGCGACUACAAACACACGUACACCGUACACGAUAUACACCGCUGCGCGUACAUGCAAACGCUCUAAACGUUGACCUGUGGGACGCUAACCUCGGCGCGUGAGACACUUCAGUGGUUGCCAAACUCACGUCUGUCCGGUUCGUCGCCGAGCCGUAUUGUUAUUAUCGCGCACGCGCAUAUAGUGUACAAUUGCACUCGGUUCAGUGUCGGACAGUUACCAAGCUACCGCUGGGCGCUGACCGGCAGCGGAAAAACUGGCGAGUACGCAGCCGACGGCCACAGCCUACCGUGGUGCAGCGGCCGUGUUCUGGUCUCUGAGGAACGUAGAACAGCGACCGUACACACGUUUUCGUCAAAACUAUAAUUAUUAUCAUUAUUAUUAUUUUUAUUACUUCACUCUACGUAUUCCUUAUUGGUUAUUAAUUAUUAUUAUCGUAUGUCGUAUAGACGUUAGAGUCUUACAAUCAGCUGCAGCUAAAUGGAUGGUUUUAUGCCGCAGACAUUUCACCCGACUGGUUUACUUUACUCCACCAACAUCUUAUGAAUUAAAAUAAUACAAAAUCAUCGAUAAACACAUACACUCUGUGACAAAAAUGUAUGAUAGCAAAUCCUGUGUAUAAAUUGUGCAAUAGUGAUAAUUUAUAAAAAUAAAGAAAUGUUACACUAAA